AAGUAUAAAACGAAAUAUCGUAUUUGAUUUCGACUCAAAUUUUGGUUUAAACACCUUUACUUA
rnacentral:tRNA from 1 species